rnacentral:lncRNA from 1 species
UAACUCUGUGUUCUUCAUUUAUUUUGAAGACAAGCUGACUCACCGGUAUUACACCAAAGCCAACAUUUCGAGACUGAUGGAUCAUCUAGAACAAGAGAACCGUGAGCUGAAAGAGGAAGUGGCCAGACUGAGUGCCUUGAUGGAAUCAUUCUUGGCUGCCCAGAGCCAGUCCUCUCCGACACUUUCAACUCCUCCCCAGAGGAUAGUCAUCUCUGAGAUUGCCUCCUCAACUGUGCCUGC